rnacentral:rRNA from 1 species
UACAGGGGGGGCGAGCGUUGUUCGGAAUUACUGGGCGUAAAGGGCUCGUAGGCGGCCAACUAAGUCGGAUGUGAAAUCCCCAGGCUCAACCUGGGAACUGCAUCCGAUACUGGAUGGCUUGAAUCCGGGAGAGGGAUGCAGAAUUCCAGGUGUAGCGGUGAAAUGCGUAGAUAUCUGGAGGAAUACCGGUGGCGAAGGCGGCAUCCUGGACCGACAUUGACGCUGAGGAGCGAAAGCUAGGGGAGCAAACGGG